UGGCUCAGUUGGUAGAGCAUGGUGUUUGCAACGCCAGCGUUGUGGGUUUGAUUCCCAC
rfam:Salmo salar isolate Sally breed double haploid chromosome ssa08, whole genome shotgun sequence.